rnacentral:rRNA from 1 species
GAUGAACGCUGACAGAAUGCUUAACACAUGCAAGUCUUUGGCGAAGCUGUGCUCGCACAGCCUAGCCAAGGCGGACGGGUGAGUAACGCGUAAGGAACUUGCCCUGCAGUCAGGGAUAACAGACGGAAACGACUGAUAAGACCUGGUAAAGUCAGGCGGACUCAUGUCCAGCCUGAUUAAAAGAGAUGCUGCAGGAGAGCCUUGCGUCCUAUUAGCUUGUUGGUGGGGUAACGGCCCACCAAGGCGAUGAUAGGUAGCCGGCCUGAGAGGGUGGACGGCCACAAGGGGACUGAGAUACGGCCCUUACUCCUACGGGAGGCAGCAGUGGGGAAUAUUGGACAAUGGGGGCAACCCUGAUCCAGCAAUUCUGUGUGCACGAUGAAGGUUUUCGGAUUGUAAAGUGCUUUCAGCAGGGAAGAAAAAAAUGACGGUACCUGCAGAAGAAGCGACGGCUAAAUACGUG